GGGCCCGCACAAGCGGUGGAGUAUGUGGUUUAAUUCGAUGCAACGCGAAGAACCUUACCAGGGUUUGACAUCCUGCGAAUCUCUUGGAAACGAGAGAGUGCCUUCGGGAACGCAGUGACAGGUGGUGCAUGGCUGUCGUCAGCUCGUGUCGUGAGAUGUUGGGUUAAGUCCCGCAACGAGCGCAACCCACGUCUUUAGUUGCCAGCAUUUAGUUGGGCACUCUAGAGAGACUGCCGGUGAUAAACCGGAGGAAGGUGUGGAUGACGUCAAGUCAUCAUGCCCCUUACGACCAGGGCUACACACGUGCUACAAUGGGAAGGACAAAGAGCCGCGAAGCCGCGAGGUGUAGCUAAUCCUUAAAACCGGUCUCAGUUCGGAUCGGGGUCUGCAACUCGGCCCCGUGAAGCUGGAAUC
rnacentral:rRNA from 1 species